rnacentral:lncRNA from 1 species
UGGAGAUAGGAUUGUUGUGGUUAACCAAUGUGUUACACAGGCUGUUAAGCAGUUCCUGCUCCCAGUGAGGGCUACAUGCUAUUUAGCAUCGUUUUAGUUGCCUGUGGUCUGAGGCGAUGCUUUCUUCUGACAGAACGAAGGACUAUGUGAGUUUGUCACUUCUGCCAGCAGCACUGAGCUCAGGUCUCAGUUACCCCAUGUGCCGGUCUGAGGGGCCACUUGAAGCAGUUUUCUUGCCAGCUCCCCCAGACAUUCUGCAGAAGGAGGAGAUACACAGCAUUACACAGCCUACAAUCUGCAUAGACAAGUAGUUUCAGUGAGACUUCUCCAUGGAACAGAAUAAAUGAGAGGCAACUCUGAUCGCAGAAACUGAGGAUGGACAGAAAUGGAGAUAAAACUCAGAAACAAGGAAUGGAUAUUUCAGCUCAACUGCAACAUAAAAAGAAUGGGAAACAGAUGCCAACCAGAGCAUGGGUACCUUUGUCCUGGAGCACACCAGGUGCUGGGGAGAGCCUUGUACCACACCCUGCGAACACAAGAGUUAGCACCAUCAGUGAACAGAGGCACGGAGAGGUCAUGAUUAUUUUUGGAGACUUCACUGAAUGGCCUUCUUUCCUGAGUCACUGAGAAAACAUUGUUUGCUUGGAGGUGGUGUCUGCUGGGAAAUGCACAGUACCUUUACAGGCGUGUCCUCAGUGUCCUCAGUGAGGCUUCAGCUGACACACACUGGAGCCACAGGCCAAGAUGUGUCUGACGUCCACAAAGGGAUGUGGGCUGGUGUCUGGACAGUGCCGUGGUCUCUCCUCUUGAAAUGGCGUUGAGGAUGCAUUUGAGUACCAAACUCCGUGUCUGAGGUACGGGGAGGAUGUGCUGUAGUCUCUGCCAGUACACUGCCUUCCAGAGCAGCAGGGCCAAGGGAGCCAUGUGCAACCUGAACACGGUCAGCAGUUACAGGGCUUCAGCCCUUCGGUGUUGGCAGUCAGUGGUUAAAGAAGGAUAAUUAAUUCUCCCUGCUGAUAGAUACCUGAUGCAUUCCAGCAAAAUGUGGACUUGCUUUUUUUUUCUUGUGGGCGGUGUAAAAUGGUAACAAUUUAACAGGAAAAAGCCCAUGAAGAGCCUAACCCAGCUGAAUGAAAUGGCAAUUAUUAUACAGUCAGACAGCAUGGAGCCGGCGCUUUUAAUGCAAUUAAUUCUGCCAUGGCUUAAUAAAUUUGUUAUGCUGGCAUAGUGAAGACUGGAG